rnacentral:misc_RNA from 1 species
AUUUUUUAAUCAUAAAUUAAUAUUUUUUCUCAAUACCGACUCAUGAUACCACAUGUCUAUAAUGGCUAACUAAAAAAAAGCAACAAUAAUGAAAGUUGCUUCCUAACAAUUUUCUUUAGAGGAAUCCAUGCUGCAAAAACUUUUAACAUUAGAUGUAUCCCUUUUUUGUUCCCUCUUUUUUCUCUAAUCAAAGCCAACAAUAUCCACUCUACACAGUUGAACCCACAACCCUAUUGGAAGGAAUGAAGUGCCUGUGAGCUACAAUGUCUGAAGUUCUACCUUCAACGAAAAAGGCAACUGUUUGACUACAAACUACCAGAAUUCCACCUAUAAGUUAAGUCAAAUAACAGAACCGACAGUCCACUGCAGCCACAGAAAUCGGACACAAUCUUAAAAGGCUAGAAUUUGGUUGAGGUUAGUAGAGAUGGAAGUUUGAUCUUCUCCAUAUUAUCCCGCAAGAGCAAUAAAACAGAAACAACCAAGGGCAUACAGACCCUUUUCAAAUUAAGCCACCACUCAGAAUUCCAAACCCCGUGAUUGAGAUUCCUACCACAUAAUUAAGCAUGAUAUAUGAUUGAGAAGA